AUGGAGGACUGUUUCCUGAUCCUGGUAGAAGACUGUAAGUACGUUUUCAUAUUUAAAGGAUUUGCCACUGAUGAUUCAGACGUGAGUUUUGAGCAGUGUAGAGUAGUGCUUGUUUGUCAUUUCUCUGAUCACAAAUGCAGACAUGGUUUUAAUCCGGCUAGCAUCAGCUUCAGCUGCCUGACCAUGGAGUCGGACCGCUUCAUCUGCAUCCGAGAGAAGGUGGGCGAGCAGAACCAAGUGCUGAUUGUGGACCUGAGCGACCCGAGCAGCCCGAUCCGCCGGCCGAUCACGGCAGACAGCGCCAUCAUGAACCCGGCCAGCAAAGUCAUCGCUCUGAAAGCGGCGCGGACGCUGCAGAUCUUUAACAUGGAGAUGAAGAGUAAAGUCAAGGCUCACACCAUGACGGACGAAGUGCUGUUCUGGAGGUGGAUCUCGGUUAACACCAUCGCCCUGGUUACGGACACGGCCGUCUAUCAUUGGAGCAUGGAGGGAGACUCUCAGCCAAUCAAUAUGUUUGAUCGUCACGCCAGCCUCGCGGGAUGCCAGAUCAUCAACUACAGAACGGACGAGCAGCAGAAGUGGCUCCUGCUCAUUGGGAUAUCAGCGCAGCAGAAUCGUGUGGUCGGUGCCAUGCAGUUGUUCUCUGUGGACCGUAAGGUUUCUCAGCCCAUCGAGGGUCACGCGGCUGCGUUUGGACAUUAUAAACUGGAGGGAAACCCAAACGCUUCCACGCUCUUCUGCUUCGGCGUCAGAGGGCAGGCUGGAGGAAAGCUGCACAUCAUCGAGGUCGGUCAGCCUCAGACCGGUAACCAGCCGUUCACUAAGAAAGCAGUGGACGUGUUUUUCCCUCCUGAAGCACAGGCGGACUUUCCUGUGGCCAUGCAGAUCGGAACUAAGCACGGCGUCAUCUACCUCAUCACUAAAUACGGUUACUUUCACAUGUAUGAUCUGGAGUCGGGCGUGUGUAUUUACAUGAACCGCAUCAGCGCUGAAACCAUAUUCGUCACGGCUGCUCACGAGAGCACAUCUGGGGUCAUCGGGGUCAAUAAGAAAGGACAGGUGCUGUCGGUGUGUGUGGAGGAGGAGAACGUAGUAAAUUACGUGACUAACGUGCUGCAGAAUCCCGAGCUGGCGUUGCGUUUGGCAUUACGCAGCGAUCUUCCCGGAGCCGAGGAGCUCCUGACACACAAGUUCAACACGCUCUUCUCUCAGGGCAGCUACACCGAAGCGGCUAAAGUCGCUGCGUCGGCUCCCAAGGGUGUGUUGCGAACGGCAGAGACGGUCCGGCGGUUCCAGGCCGUCCCGGCGCAGGGGGGCCAGCCGUCUCCGCUGCUGCAGUAUUUCGGGGUUCUGCUGGACCGCGGGCAGCUCAAUAAGCUGGAGUCGUUGGAGCUCUGCAGGCCGGUGCUGCAGCAGGGACGAACACAGCUGCUGGAGAAAUGGCUCAAGGGAGAGAAGCUGGAGUGCUCGGAGGAGUUGGGUGAUCUGGUGAAGGCGGCUGACGUCACUCUGGCCCUCAGCGUUUACCUGCGAGCGAAUGUUCCUGCUAAAGUCAUCCAGUGCUUUGCUGAGACGGCUCAGUUCCAGAAGAUAGUGCUCUAUGCUAAGAAGAUGGGGUAUUCUCCAGACUGGGUGAUGCUGUUGAGGAGUGUGAUGAGAUCCGGUCCUGAUCAGGGCCUUCAGUUCGCUCAGAUGCUGGUUCAGGAUGAAGAGCCGCUCGUCAACAUCAGCCAGGUGGUGGAUGUCUUCAUGGAGGGGAAUCUAGUGCAGCAGUGUACUUCAUUCCUAUUGGACGCUCUGAAGAACAACAGGCCGGAGGAGGGGCCUCUGCAGACACGCCUCCUGGAGAUGAACCUCAUUCACGCCCCUCAGGUCGCAGACGCGAUCCUCGGGAAUCAGAUGUUCACUCACUACGAGCGCGCUCACAUCGCUCAGCUGUGUGAGAAAGCCGGUUUACUGCAGAGAGCUCUGGAGCAUUACAGCGACCCCGACGACGUCAAACGGGCCAUCGUACACACACACCUGCUCAACACCGAGUGGCUGGUGAAUUUCUUUGGCUCUCUGUCUGUCGGUGACUCCGUCGCGUGUCUGAGGGCCAUGUUGGCUGCAAACCUGCGUCAGAACCUGCAGCUGAGCGUUCAGAUCGCCACCAAGUACCACGAGCAGCUGGGAACGCAGACGCUGGUGGAGCUUUUCGAGUCGUUCAAGAGCUACGAGGGUCUGUUUUAUUUUCUGGGCUCUAUCGUGAACUUCAGUCAGGACCCCGAUGUGCACUUCAAGUACAUUCAGGCGGCGUGUAAGACGGGUCAGAUCAAAGAGGUGGAGCGCAUCUGUCGAGAGAGCAGCUGCUACAACGCCGAGCGCGUCAAGAACUUCCUCAAGGAAGCCAAACUCACCGAUCAGCUUCCUCUCAUCAUCGUGUGCGACCGCUUCGAUUUCGUCCACGACCUCGUGCUCUACUUGUACCGUAACAGCCUGCAGAAGUACAUCGAGAUCUACGUACAGAAGGUCAAUCCCAGCCGGCUACCGGUGGUGGUCGGGGGUCUGCUGGAUGUCGACUGCUCCGAGGACACCAUCAGGAGUCUGAUCCUCGCCGUACGAGGAGAUUUCAGCACUGAUCAGCUGGUGGAGGAAGUGGAGAAAAGAAACCGACUGAAGCUGCUCGUGUCCUGGCUGGAAUCUCGUGUUCAAGAGGGCUCUGAAGAACCCGCUACCCACAAUGCACUGGCAAAGAUCUACAUAGACAGUAACAACAAUCCUGAGCGCUUCCUCCGAGAAAACCUGCACUACGACAGCGUGACCGUGGGCCGAUACUGCGAGAAGAGAGACCCGCAACUCGCCUUUGUGGCCUAUGAGAGAGGACAGUGUGACCUGGAGCUCAUACAGGUGUGCAAUGAAAACUCCCUGUUUAAAAGUGAGUCGCGGUAUCUGGUGCGGCGAAAAGAUCCAGAUCUUUGGGCUCAAGUUCUGCAGGAGACGAACCCAUACAGACGGCCGCUGAUAGAUCAGGUGGUUCAGACGGCUCUGCCGGAGACGCAGGAUCCAGAGGAAGUGUCUGUGACGGUGAAGGCGUUUAUGACGGCCGAUCUGCCUAAUGAACUCAUUGAACUUCUGGAGAAGAUCGUUCUGGAGAACUCCAUAUUCAGUGAACACAGGAACCUGCAGAACCUGCUGAUCCUGACGGCCAUCAAAGCGGACCGGACGCGGGUCAUGGAGUACAUCAACCGGCUGGACAAUUACGACGCUCCUGACAUCGCCAACAUCGCCAUCAGCAGCGAGCUGUACGAAGAGGCCUUCUCCAUCUUCAAGAAGUUCGACGUCAACACCUCAGCGAUUCAGGUUCUGAUCGAGCACAUGGGCAAUCUGGACCGGGCGUACGAGUUUGCGGAGCGCUGUUCCGAGGGCUCGGUCUGGAGUCGGCUGGCUCAGGCUCAGCUUCAGUCUGGUCUGAUCAAAGAGGCCAUCGACUCCUACAUCAAAGCUGGAGAGCCGUCGGCGUACAUGGAGGUGGUGGAUGCUGCCAGUAGAAACGGGAACUGGGAGGAUCUGGUGAAGUUUCUUCAAAUGGCGAGGAAGAAAGCCAGAGAGUCGUUUGUGGAGACGGAGCUCAUCUUUGCUCUGGCUAAAACAAAUCGUCUGUCUGAGCUGGAGGACUUUAUCAACGGCCCCAACAAUGCUCACAUACAGCAAGUUGGCGAGAGAUGUUAUGAAGAGGGUAUGUUUGAAGCCGCCCGGCUGCUGUUUAAUAACGUGUCUAAUUUCGCUCGUCUGGCGUCCACACUCGUUCACCUCGGCGAGUUUCAGGCGGCCGUUGACAGCGCACGAAAGGCCAGCUGCACACGCACAUGGAAAGAGGUGAGAGAUGAAGACGUUAUUAAAUACAUCUCGGUAAACUAG
ensembl:lncRNA clathrin heavy chain 1-like